UAAUUCGAUGCAACGCGAAGAACCUUACCUACUCUUGACAUCCAGAGAAGCCGGAAGAGAUUCUGGUGUGCCUUCGGGAGCUCUGAGACAGGUGCUGCAUGGCUGUCGUCAGCUCGUGUUGUGAAAUGUUGGGUUAAGUCCCGCAACGAGCGCAACCCUUAUCCUUGUUUGCCAGCGAGUAAUGUCGGGAACUCCAGGGAGACUGCCGGUGAUAAACCGGAGGAAGGUGGGGACGACGUCAAGUCAUCAUGGCCCUUACGAGUAGGGCUACACACGUGCUACAAUGGCGCAUACAGAGGGCGGCGAGCCAGCGAUGGUGAGCGAAUCCCAAAAAGUGCGUCGUAGUCCGGAUUGGAGUCUGCAACUCGACUCCAUGAAGUCGGAAUCGCUAGUAAUCGUGGAUCAGAAUGCCACGGUGAAUACGUUCCCGGGCCUUGUACACACCGCCCCGUCACACCAUGGGAGUGGGCUGCAAAAGAAGUAGGUAGUUUAACCUUCGGGGGGACGCUUACCACUUUGUGGUUCAUGACUGGGGUGAAGUCGUAACAAGGUAGCGCUAGGGGAACCUGGCGCUGGAUCACCUCCUUAU
rnacentral:rRNA from 1 species